UACGUAGGGGGCAAGCGUUGUCCGGAAUCAUUGGGCGUAAAGAGCGUGUAGGCGGCCCGGUAAGUCCGCCGUGAAAGUCCAGGGCUCAACCCUGGAAUGCCGGUGGAAACUGCCGGGCUGGAGUCCGGAAGAGGCGAGUGGAAUUCCUGGUGUAGCGGUGAAAUGCGUAGAUAUCUGGAGGAACACCGGUGGCGAAGGCGGCAUCCUGGACCGGUAUUGACGCUGAGGCGCGAAAGCCAGGGGAGCAAACGGG
rnacentral:rRNA from 1 species